GAGGAUAUAGCUCAGUGGUAGAGUGUGUGCUUAGCAUGCACGAGGUCCUGGGUUCAAUCCCUAGGGCCUCC
rnacentral:tRNA from 1 species